ACGCUUCGAGAGGGGCCCGCGUUCGAUUAGCUAGUUGGUGGGGUAACGGCUUACCAAGGCGACGAUCGAUAGCUGGUCUAAGAGGAUGAUCAGCCAGACUGGGACUGCGACACGGCCCAG
rnacentral:rRNA from 1 species